rnacentral:rRNA from 1 species
AGAGUUUGAUCAUGGCUCAGGAUUAACGCUGGCGGCGUGCCUAACACAUGCAAGUCGAACGAAAUAUCUUCGGAUAUUUAGUGGCGAACGGGUGAGUAAUGUACAGGUAAUGUACCUUCGUACUGCGAAUAACAAGCUGAAAAGUUUGCUAAUACGGAAUAGUUUCAUUAGGGGGCAUCCUUUGAUGAAUAAAGAUUUAUCGUGCGGAGAUCAGCCUGUAUCCUAUUAGUUAGUUGGUGGGGUAAUGGCCUACCAAGACGACGAUGGGUAACUGGUCUGAGAGGAUGAGCAGUCACAUUGGAACUGAGAUACGGUCCAAACUCCUACGGGAGGCAGCAGUGAGGAAUUUUGCGCAAUGGGGGAAACCCUGACGCCAGCAACGCCGCGUGAGUGAAGACGGCCUUCGGGUUGUAAAGCUCUGUCGUGUAUGACGAGUAGGGACGGUAAUACACAAGGAAGCCUCGGCUAACUACGUGCCAGCCGCUGC